rnacentral:rRNA from 1 species
GACGAACGCUGGCGGCGUGCUUAACACAUGCAAGUCGAGCGGUAAGGCCCUUUCGGGGGUACACGAGCGGCGAACGGGUGAGUAACACGUGGGUGACCUGCCCUCAGCUCUGGGAUAAGCCUGGGAAAACUGGGUCUAAUACUGGAUAUGACUCCACGGUGCAUGUCGUGGGGUGGAAAGCCUUGUGCGGCUUGAGGAUGGGCCCGCGGCCUAUCAGCUUGUUGGUGGGGUGANGGCCUACCAAGGCGACGACGGGUAGCCGGCCUGAGAGGGCGACCGGCCAUACUGGGACUGAGACACGGCCCAGACUCCUACGGGAGGCAGCAGUGGGGAAUCUUGCGCAAUGGGCGAAAGCCUGACGCAGCGACGCCGCGUGAGGGAUGACGGCCUCGGUU